GGGGAUAUGGUUUAGUGGUAUAAUGCUUCCUUAGCAGCGUUAAGUUGCCUUGAUUGGAAGAGGUCCCGAGUUCGAUUCUUGGUGUCUCCA
rfam:Magnaporthe oryzae 70-15 chromosome 1, whole genome shotgun sequence.